AGAGGGUGCGAACGUUGCUCGGAUUUACUGGGCGUAAAGCGCGUGUAGGCGGACUCGCAAGUCGGUUGUGAAAUCCCUGGGCUCAACCUAGGAACUGCAUCCGAAACUGCUUGUCUUGAGUAAUGGAGAGGGUGGCGGAAUUCCCGGUGUAGAGGUGAAAUUCGUAGAUAUCGGGAGGAACAUCAGUGGCGAAGGCGGCCACCUGGACAUUUACUGACGCUGAGACGCGAAAGCGUGGGGAGCAAACAGGGAUUAGAUACCCUGGUAGUCCACGCCGUAAACGAUGAGAACUAGGUGCAGCGGAUAUUGACCUCUGCUGUGCCGUAGCUAACGCGUUAAGUUCUCCGCCUGGGAGUACGGCCGCAAGGCUA
rnacentral:rRNA from 1 species